rnacentral:rRNA from 1 species
UCAGACGAUGCGUCAUGCAUAUCAAUAAGCGGAGGAAAAGAAACUAACAAGGAUUCCCCUAGUAACGGCGAGUGAAGCGGGAAGAGCUCAAAUUUGAAAUCUUAAAGGGUUUCCCUUUACGAAUUGUAGUUUAAAGAAGUGUUCUCUGUUGAGGUUUUGGUAAAAGUUCUUUGGAAUAGGACAUCAUAGAGGGUGAGAAUCCCGUAUUUGACCUUUACUUUCAACUUUGUGAUACACUUUCAAAGAGUCGGAUUGUUUGGGAAUGCAGUCCAAAAUGGGUGGUAAAUUUCAUCUAAAGCUAAAUAUUGGCGAGAGACCGAUAGCGAACAAGUACCGUGAGGGAAAGAUGAAAAGAACUUUGAAAAGAGAGUCAAACAGUACGAGAAAUUGUCAAAAGGGAAGCGUUUGACACCAGUGUUGUUUUUCUGAAAAUCAAUUAAAGAACUGUUUAUGCUAAGCUGUUUAGACUUUAUCAGCUAUCUGUUUAGUUUUGAGCUUUUCUUUAAUGCACUUUUCAGUUAACAAGUCAACAUCAAUUUCUUUUGCUGUAAAAAAGCUUGAGGAAGGUGGCUUGAGAUUCGUCUUAAGUGUUUAUAGCCUCUUGCCUAUGCAGUCGGAGAGAUUGAGGUCUGCAGCGUAGAUCCUUCGGGGCUAAAUGCAUUUGUGCUAAGUUAUAGCAUUUUAUAGACAACUUGUUGACUAUGAUUUGUCUUGUAGCUUACUCGCUUAUGUUAUUUUACCUACGCUUAGGAUGUUGACACACGCGCGUGCUCG